GGAGAGGUGUCCGAGAGGCCGAAGGAGCGCGCUUGGAAAGCGCGUAGGCGGGUAAAACUGUCUCCUGGGUUCGAAUCCCAGCCUCUCCGCCA
rnacentral:tRNA from 1 species